rnacentral:rRNA from 1 species
UGCCAGCAGCCGCGGUAAUACGAAGGUCCCGAGCGUUGUUCGGAUUUACUGGGCGUAAAGAGUCUGUAGGCGGUUAAGUAAGUCAGAUGUGAAAUCCCGGGGCUCAACUCCGGAACUGCAUCCGAUACUGCUUAACUAGAGUGUUGGAGGGGAAACUGGAAUUCUCGGUGUAGCAGUGAAAUGCGUAGAUAUCGAGAGGAACACUAGUGGCGAAGGCGAGUUUCUGGACAACUACUGACGCUGAGAGACGAAGGCCAGGGUAGCGAACAGGAUUAGAUA